AACGAACGCUGGCGGCAUGCCUAACACAUGCAAGUCGAACGAGACCUUCGGGUCUAGUGGCGCACGGGUGCGUAACGCGUGGGAAUCUGCCCUUGGGUUCGGAAUAACAGUUGGAAACGACUGCUAAUACCGGAUGAUGACGUAAGUCCAAAGAUUUAUCGCCCAAGGAUGAGCCCGCGUAGGAUUAGCUAGUUGGUGAGGUAAAGGCUCACCAAGGCGACGAUCCUUAGCUGGUCUGAGAGGAUGAUCAGCCACACUGGGACUGAGACACGGCCCAGACUCCUACGGGAGGCAGCAGUGGGGAAUAUUGGACAAUGGGCGAAAGCCUGAUCCAGCAAUGCCGCGUGAGUGAUGAAGGCCUUAGGGUUGUAAAGCUCUUUUACCCGGGAUGAUAAUGACAGUACCGGGAGAAUAAGCUCCGGCUAACUCCGUGCCAGCAGCCGCGGUAAAGUGACUACUG
rnacentral:rRNA from 1 species